CGGCUAACUACGUGCCAGCAGCCGCGGUAAUACGUAGGUGGCAAGCGUUGUCCGGAUUUAUUGGGCGUAAAGCGAGCGCAGGCGGUUUUUUAAGUCUGAUGUGAAAGCCUUCGGCUCAACCGAAGAAGUGCAUCGGAAACUGGGAAACUUGAGUGCAGAAGAGGACAGUGGAACUCCAUGUGUAGCGGUGAAAUGCGUAGAUAUAUGGAAGAACACCAGUGGCGAAGGCGGCUGUCUGGUCUGUAACUGACGCUGAGGCUCGAAAGUAUGGGUAGCAAACAGGAUUAGAUACCCUGGUAGUCCAUACCGUAAACGAUGAAUGCUAAGUGUUGGAGGGUUUCCGCCCUUCAGUGCUGCAGCUAACGCAUUAAGCAUUCCGCCUGGGGAGUACGGCCGCAAGGCUGAAACUCAAAGGAAUUGACGGGGGCCCGCACAAGCGGUGGAGCAUGUGGUUUAAUUCGAAGCUACGCGAAGAACCUUACCAGGUCUUGACAUACUAUGCAAAUCUAAGAGAUUAGACGUUCCCUUCGGGGACAUGGAUACAGGUGGUGCAUGGUUGUCGUCAGCUCGUGUCGUGAGAUGUUGGGUUAAGUCCCGCAACGAGCGCAACCCUUAUUAUCAGUUGCCAGCAUUAAGUUGGGCACUCUGGUGAGACUGCCGGUGACAAACCGGAGGAAGGUGGGGAUGACGUCAAAUCAUCAUGCCCCUUAUGACCUGGGCUACACACGUGCUACAAUGGAUGGUACAACGAGUUGCGAACUCGCGAGAGUAAGCUAAUCUCUUAAAGCCAUUCUCAGUUCGGAUUGUAGGCUGCAACUCGCCUACAUGAAGUCGGAAUCGCUAGUAAUCGCGGAUCAGCAUGCCGCGGUGAAUACGUUCCCGGGCCUUGUACACACCGCCCGUCACACCAUGAGAGUUUGUAACACCCAAAGUCGGUGGGGUAACCUU
rnacentral:rRNA from 2 species